AGAGUACGAGUGAGAUAAAUCCUAAGGGGGUACUAGGCUAAAAUUCAAAGGGUCAAAAGAAAAUUGAAAGAGUUGUGGGGAUUGAACUAAAAAUAUUUCGUUAACUUUUAAACAACAACUUCUCAACUAUUUUUCUUCUCGUUUACGUUUUUAUCCUUUUUUUUCUUUUUUCGAUCAGAAGGAAUAUGUAAUGACAUCCUUUUUUUUUUCUUUCUUUUUUUCAAUUUUUUUAUAUUUUGUUCUGCCAUUUUUUAAUCAAAUAUCACAACUAUAAUUAUUCAAUCCCACACAACUUCAACAAGACUCUUUCAAC
rnacentral:lncRNA from 1 species